rnacentral:lncRNA from 1 species
UUUCGGCUUUUCAUGAGCCAUGCAUGGAUCCUCCCCUCCCUCUUUGAAAGGAAAUGACCUUAAUUCAUCAAGGCCAUCCUCAACAAGAUACGGUGAAAGGUCUCCCACAUUAAAGGUAGCAUGCACUCCAUGGUCUCGUCCCAGAUCAACCUUAUAAGUAUUAUCAUUGACAUGUGUCACCACUUUGUAAGGACCUUCAGCUCUUGGCAUCAACUUUUGUUCUUCCUUUUGUUAGCAAAACGUUCUUUCCUCAUAUGCGCCUAAACCACGUCACCAUCUUGUAAGACACGUGGUUUCCUAUGCAUGUUGGAAUUAUGUUUGUACACGUCAUACACAGCUUCAAUCUUCACACAAACUUGUUGGUGUAGUUACAUCAUGGCCUUCAAAUUGUCAUUUGCAUCCUUGUGAACCAAUUCACCAUUUGGAAAUGGAAUGAAAUACAAAGGCUUGUAAGGAUUCACACCAUACACCACUUACGUAGGCUUAUAAGGACCUUCAGCUUUUGGCAUCAACUUUUGUUUGGAAAACGUUCUUUCCUCAUAUGCACCAACACCAAAUCACCAUCUUGAAAGACACGAGGUUUCCUAUACAUGUUGGAAUUCUGUUUGUACACGUCAAUCACGGCUUCAAUCUUCACACUAGCUUGUUGGUGUAGUUUCGUCAUGGCCUUCAACUUGUCAUUAGCAUCCUUGUGAACCAAUUCAUCGUUUGGAAAUGGAAUAAUAUACAAAGGCUCGUAAGGAUUCACACCAUACACCACUUACAAAGGCUUGUAAGGACCUUCAGCUCUUGGCAUCAACUCUUGUUCAAAGUGAACAAAGGUUAGUUUGAUUAAAAUUUCAUCUAUCUCUUUUUUCCAUGCAUAAUUGGCUUAUAUGAAGCCUUUAUAACAAAGUUGGUGGUUACUAGCCACCCAACCAACUACUCAGUAAAACUAAUAAUGGAAAUUAAAGAAACUCAUGAAACCACACAAAAAAACGUCUGACACACUGAUGAAUGAAAAAAGUGUCCAUGCUCCAUUAAGGAGCAAAAAGAAGCAUUAAAGUGUAAUCCAAAUCCACCAAAGAGUAUCAACAAUGGCUAGAAGGCUUGACGAAGCAAAAAGUAACAGUUUUGAGCACUUAUUAAGCCUUUAAAAUGUUGCCCUAGCCUUCAUGCGACCCUAAUUUAAUACGUAGGUUACCAUGCACAACCCAACCAUUGAGUACAAACCACCUUCUGGCCUACUAGUAAUCACUAAUCCAUCACAUUUUUCGGCUUUUCAUGAGCCAUGCAUGGAUCCUCCCCUCCCUCUUUGAAAGGAAAUGACCUUAAUUCAUCAAGGCCAUCCUNGUACUAAAAAGUAACUUAGUACCAACUUUCCUCCACAAAGUGUUCCAAAUGUAACUCAAAAACAAGGAAUCCCUAUCAGAAACAAUAGUUUUACGAAUAAUAUGCAAGCGGACCACUUCUUUAAAGUACAAAUCAGAAAGAUUAGAUGAAUCAUUGGUUUUAUGACAUGGCAAAAAGUGAGCCAUUUUUGAAAACCUAUCCACCACCAAUAUAAUGGAUUCCUUCCUCCUUUGAGUUCUAGGCAAAGCCAUACUGAAUUCCAUCGACACAUCUUGCCAAGGACGAAUACGAACCGUCAAAGGAGUGUAAACACCAUGCUUGAAAGUUUUUUCGUCAUCCGACAUGUAACACACUUCCCCACUAUGUUGGUUACAUCCCUAACAUCUUUAGGCCAGAAGAAAUGUUCUUAAAGCACCUUCAAAGUUUUGGUAAUGGAAAAAUGACCCGCCAAACCACCACCAUGAGCUUCACGAAUCAGCAACUCCCGUANUAUUGAAUGUUUAGGGACACAAAGAUGAUUGCCUUUUGAUACCUUUAUGGGCUUGAUUAAGCGAGUAGGGUUUUGUUUAGGUAAAUUAAGCUAGAAUAACAACCACAAAUGGUAGGUGUAUAGGAAAAAAUGGAUAGAUUAGUAAAAAAUCAAGACCUACUAAGUUGUAUACUCGUGAAAACUAUCCAAGAAAUAAUAUUUGUUUGAAUGCGUAUCAAUUCAAGAACACAUCUCGACUAUGACAAGUAGUGAACUAUAACUAUAGUUCAAAGUGAACAAAGGUUAUUUUGAUUAAAAUUUCAUCUAUCUCUUUUUUCCAUGCAUAAUUGGCUUAUAUGAAGCCUUUAUAACAAAGUUGGUGGUUACUUGCCACCCAACCAACUACUCAAUAAAACUAAUAAUGGAAAUUAAAGAAACUCAUGAAACCACACAAAAAAACGUCUGACACACUAAUGAAUGAAAAAAGCAUCCACGCUCCACUAAGGAGCAAAAAGAAGCAUUAAAGUGUAACCCAAAUCCACCAAAGAGUGUCAACAAUGGCUAGAAGGCUUGAUGAAGCAAAAAGUAACAUUUUGAGAACUUAUUAAGCCUUUACAAUGUUGCCCUAGCCUUCAUGCGACCCCAAUUCUAUACGUAGGUUACCAUGCACAACCGAACCAUUGAGUACAAACCACCCUCUAGCCUACUAGCAAUCACUAACCCAUCAACUUUUUCGGCUUUCCAUGAGCCAUGCAUGGAUCCUCCCCUCCCUCUUUGAAAGGAAAUGACCUUAAUUCAUAAAGGCCAUCCUCAACAAGAUACGGUGAAAGGUCUCCCACAUUAAAGGUAGCAUGCACUCCAUGCUCUCGUCCCAAAUCAACCUUAUAAGUAUUAUCAUUGACAUGUGUCACCACAUUGUAAGGACCUCAGGGCUUGGCAUCAACUUUUGUUCUUCCCUUUGUUAGCAAAACGUUCUUUCCUCAUAUGCACCUAAACCAAGUCACCAUCUUGUAAGACACGUGGUUUCCUAUGCAUGUUGGAAUUUUGUUUGUACACGUCAUUCACAGCUUCAAUCUUCACACAAACUUGUGGGUGUAGUUACAUCAUGGCCUUCAAAUUGUCAUUUGCAUCCUUGUGAACCAAUUCAUCAUUUGGAAAUGGAAUCAAACACAAAGGCUUGUAAGGAUUCACACCAUACACCACUUACGAAGGCUUACGGACCUUCAGCUUUUGGCGUCAACUUUUGUUCUUCCUUUUGUUUGGAAAACGUUCUUUCCUCAUAUGCACCUAAACCAAGUCACCGUCUUGAAAGACACGAGGUUUCCUAUACAUGUUGGAAUUCUAUUUGUACACGUCAUUCACGGCUUCAAUCUUCACACGAGCUUGUUUGUGUAGUUUCGUCAUGGCCUUCAACUUGUCCUUAGCAUCCUUGUGAACCAAUUAAUCUUUUGGAAAUGGAAUAAUAUACAAAGGCUUGUAAGGAUUCACACCAUACACCCCUUACAAAGGCUUGUAAGGACCUUCAGCUCUUGGCAUCAACUUUUGUUCUUGCUUUUGUUAGGAAAACAUUCUUUCCUCAUAUGCACCUAAACCAAGUCACCAGCUUG